UAGGGAAUUUUCGGCAAUGGGGGAAACCCUGACCGAGCAACGCCGCGUGAGCGAAGAAGGCCUUCGGGUCGUAAAGCUCUGUUGUAAAGGAAGAACGUCGCAUGCAGGAAAUGGUGUGCGAGUGACGGUACUUUACCAGAAAGCCACGGCUAACUACGUG
rnacentral:rRNA from 1 species